AAAUGGCGAAGCUUUCGAGCCUAGCUUUUAUCAAUAUAACACCUGUGAACUAUUUGCCUUCGGGCACUCAUCAAACAUAAUGUAACGAAUGUAAACUACUAUAAUAAAUACAACUUUCAACAACGGAUCUCUUGGCUCU
rnacentral:misc_RNA from 1 species